rnacentral:rRNA from 1 species
CCUACGGGUGGCAGCAGUGAGGAAUAUUGGUCAAUGGGCGAGAGCCUGAACCAGCCAAGUCGCGUGAGGGAAGACGGUCCUAUGGAUUGUAAACCUCUUUUGUCGGGGAGCAAAACGGCCUCGUGAGGCCCCAAGUUAGAGUACCCGAGGACAAAGCCUCGGCUAACUCCGUGCCAGCAGCCGCGGUAAUACGGAGGAUGCGAGCGUUAUUCGGAUUUAUGGGGUUAAAAGGGUGCGUAGGCGGACUGGGAAGUCAGCGGUAAAAUCGAGAGGCUCAACCUCUUUCCGCCGUUGAAACUGUCGGUCUUGAGUGGGCGAGAAGUAGGCGGAAUGCGUGGUGUAGCGGUGAAAUGCAUAGAUAUCACGCAGAACUCCGAUUGCGAAGGCAGCAUACCGGCGCCCGACUGACGCUGAGGCACGAAAGCGUGGGUAUCGAACAGGAUUAGAUACCCUUGUAGUC